GCCCCCGUAGCUCAGGAGGAUAGAGCGGCGGUUUCCUAAACCGCAGGCCGGGUGUUCAAGUCACCCCGGGGGCA
rnacentral:tRNA from 1 species